rnacentral:lncRNA from 1 species
CUUCUUCAUCCGUAACCGAUAAUUUUCGUAUUUCGUUAGUACAUGAAUUGUAACUCCUCGGUUACAUAGGGUUUAAAUAAUUGGAAAUAAGUGGAAAAUUAUAAUAAAUAAAACAAGCAUUUAGUAGAAGAUAAGUAAAUAACCUGAAAAUACUUUAAUAAAAAAUUUCUUCAAAGACAAAAAAUCAUACAUCUAAAAAUUCAAUAAUAAUGCAAGAAUCACCAAAACUUGGUGGAUUUCAAACAAACCUAAAACAAAUUUCCCACCAAGCCAAAAGUGACUAAUCAAAGGAAAGAAUAAUCAUCAAAGAAACAAAAGGCUCCUCGGUGUGCUCAGAGUAUCUUUUUCCAAUAUCUCAAAAACAUUACCAGUGAGAUUUAUAAAUAUCAGUAAAUAUACUACAGUUUUAAAUCAGUUUAAAAAAGUGAUUUUUCCAACCGGCAUUGCAACUGUAAAAAUUGACCAAGAUAUCAUAUUCUUUCAAUAAUAAUAUAGUAAUAACAACUCGAAAAUCAAAUACAUUAAAAUAGAUCAUUAUAAUUCAUAUAAUGACAUCUCACAAUUAAAUUAAAUACCUUCAUUCCAUUCUCAAUUAUCGUUGAAAUCAUUUUAUAAUAAAAAAAAUUAACACAUUGUGCGGGUGUCCCAACUGCCUCAUCCCAUUGGAAUGGUGUCUGCUAUCACUUCCAAAUAGGUGAUGGUACACAAAUCUAUUGGAACACCAGCUCAUCUCAUGUGGGUAAUCAAGCCUGUCUUUGUGGAGCUCAAAGUUUAUCUGGGUGGGAUACGAGACCCGUCCAUAUGGAGCACAUACCUCAUAUCUAUGUAAAUAUUUGUAAACUACAAGACCCAUCCAUGUGGAGCACACAGCUCAAUCUUUAGGUACAUAACCAUCGACUAAUGGACACAUCCAUGUGGAUCACACAGCCAGAUCUCUGGGUAAAUAACCAUCAACUAUUCAACAGAUCCAUAUCGAGCACAUAGCUCAUAUUGGGUAAAUAACCAUAAGAUACAAGAACCACCAAUAUGGACCACAUAGCUCAUUUGGGGUAAAUGACUGUGGAACGCAUGGCUCAUCUCAUACAUAUGGCACAUCCCAGGCAAAUAAUCAUGAGACAUAGGAACCAUUGAUAGGGAGCACAUAGCUCAUCUCUCUCAUACAUAUGGCACAUCCUGGGCAAAUAACCGUGAGAUAUAUGACCCAUCGAUGAGGAGCACAUAGCUCAUCUGUCUCAUACAUAUGGCACAUCCUGGGCAAAUAACCGAGACAUAACCCAUCGAUGAGGAGCACAUAGCUCAUCUGUCUCAUACAUAUGGCACAUCCUGGGAAAAUAACCGUGAGACAGAACCCAUCGAUAGGGAGCACAUAGCUCAUUCGCUCAUGCAUAUGGCACAUCCUGGGCAAAUAACCGUGAGACACAGGACCCAUCGAUAGGGAGCACAUAGCUCAUCUGUCUCAUUUAUAUGGCUAAUCCUGGGUAAAUAACCGUGAGAUAUAUCGAUAGGGAGCACAUAGCUCAUUUGUCUCGUAUACAUAGCUCAUGGGUAAAUAACCGUGAGAUAUAGGAUCCAUCGAUAUGGAGCACAUAGCUCAUUCUGGGAAAUAACUACGGAACAUUUGACUUGUCUCAUUCAUAUAGCCAUAUAGCUCAUCCUGGGUAAAUAACAUUAAGAUACUGGACACAUCGAUAUGGAGCACAUAACCCAUCUUCGGUAAAUAACUGAGGACCACAUGGCUCGUCUCGUACAUAUGGCUCAUAUUGGCUCAUAUAGGGCAAAUAGAGUAAAUAACUGUGAUAUAAGACCACAUAACUAAUCCCGUAAAUAACUUUGGAACACUUGGCUCAUCUCCAACGACCAACCACCCAACAAUCAUCGAUCAAAAUCCCUUUUAGUUCCGUUUCAUGCAAACAUCACUAAAAUGGAUUAUUCAUUAUCUAAAUCCCUUUUUUCACUACCAUCAUCAUGAAAAAUCAUCACAUAUUUGUAAAAGGCUUUAAUUCAUAUAAUUCCUUCAAUAUAUUCAACAAAUCAUAAAAAAAUCAUCCAUAACCAUCAAUUCAACAGACCAAUUGAAUACAUAACAACAAUCAAUUUCAUGAUUAUAAAUCCAACAUUUCACAAAUCCCACAAUUAACAAAGUUGGGUUUUCAUCGAAAACCCUAACUCGUUCCAAAUUCCGAUAUCACCAAUCAAAAAAUGUACCAUAAAAAAACGUUUCAAAAAAACAGUGUGAUGUGAUUAUUACUCACCUUGCGCAGAGUUAGUUAACUCAGAAAUAAUGUUACUGUUCAAACUAGUAUCAUUUUGUUGUGUUGCUAAUUUCUUCUUCAUCUUCUUCCUCUGCUUACUCAGUUUUCUCUUUCGUUUUUUGUUACUCGUUGGAGAAAGAUUGUUAUUAUUCAGAACUUGUUCUUCUUCUUUCUCUGUUUUCAUACCUGAAAUCUCGUUGUUCAUAGAUUCUGAAAAAUCUUCAAUCUGAGAAUGUGGUGAAUUUGUCGCAGCGGCGGCGGCGGUGGUUUAGAGAGGAAACGGUGGUGGUUUAGUUUCUUAGGGUUUCAACUUCUG